AAUAUUUUGAGCUGUCGAGAAGUGAAGUCGAGUAGUAGACGGUAGUGUUCGAGGAGUGAGAAAGUCGUUGUAGUUCCGUGAGUGUGGAGUAUCUAUCGUGGAACGAGAGGUAG
rnacentral:lncRNA from 1 species